rnacentral:lncRNA from 1 species
CUGAUUUGGCUCCGUCGGCUGCCUUCGUCGCCGGACAGCAGUCCGGCCGUAACCGCUUCGGUAGCCGUGGGCGCAACCGUAGCAGCCGCGGGUCAGCCUCCGGUCGCGGUGAUUACUCCAGCAAUGGCCAAUCUUGCAGGUAUAAUGGGAAGUGCCAGCUCUGCAGUGAAUUUGGCCACUCUGCGCGCCGCUGUCCGUCCU